UUCGACACACUAUCAUUAACUGAAUCCAUAGGUUAAUGAGGCGAACCGGGGGAACUGAAACAUCUAAGUACCCCGAGGAAAAGAAAUCAACCGAGAUUCCCCCAGUAGCGGCGAGCGAACGGGGAGCAGCCCAGAGCCUGAAUCAGUGUGUGUGUUAGUGGAAGCGUCUGGAAAGGCGCGCGAUACAGGGUGACAGCCCCGUACACAAAAAUGCACAUACUGUGAGCUCGAUGAGUAGGGCGGGACACGUGGUAUCCUGUCUGAAUAUGGGGGGACCAUCCUCCAAGGCUAAAUACUCCUGACUGACCGAUAGUGAACCAGUACCGUGAGGGAAAGGCGAAAAGAACCCCGGCGAGGGGAGUGAAAAAGAACCUGAAACCGUGUACGUACAAGCAGUGGGAGCACAGAGCAAUCUGUGUGACUGCGUACCUUUUGUAUAAUGGGUCAGCGACUUAUAUUCUGUAGCAAGGUUAACCGAAUAGGGGAGCCGAAGGGAAACCGAGUCUUAACUGGGCGUUAAGUUGCAGGGUAUAGACCCGAAACCCGGUGAUCUAGCCAUGGGCAGGUUGAAGGUUGGGUAACACUAACUGGAGGACCGAACCGACUAAUGUUGAAAAAUUAGCGGAUGACUUGUGGCUGGGGGUGAAAGGCCAAUCAAACCGGGAGAUAGCUGGUUCUCCCCGAAAGCUAUUUAGGUAGCGCCUCGUGAAUUCAUCUCCGGGGGUAGAGCACUGUUUCGGCAAGGGGGUCAUCCCGACUUACCAACCCGAUGCAAACUGCGAAUACCGGAGAAUGUUAUCACGGGAGACACACGGCGGGUGCUAACGUCCGUCGUGAAGAGGGAAACAACCCAGACCGCCAGCUAAGGUCCCAAAGUCAUGGUUAAGUGGGAAACGAUGUGGGAAGGCCCAGACAGCCAGGAUGUUGGCUUAGAAGCAGCCAUCAUUUAAAGAAAGCGUAAUAGCUCACUGGUCGAGUCGGCCUGCGCGGAAGAUGUAACGGGGCUAAACCAUGCACCGAAGCUGCGGCAGCGACGCUUAUGCGUUGUUGGGUAGGGGAGCGUUCUGUAAGCCUGCGAAGGUGUGCUGUGAGGCAUGCUGGAGGUAUCAGAAGUGCGAAUGCUGACAUAAGUAACGAUAAAGCGGGUGAAAAGCCCGCUCGCCGGAAGACCAAGGGUUCCUGUCCAACGUUAAUCGGGGCAGGGUGAGUCGACCCCUAAGGCGAGGCCGAAAGGCGUAGUCGAUGGGAAACAGGUUAAUAUUCCUGUACUUGGUGUUACUGCGAAGGGGGGACGGAGAAGGCUAUGUUGGCCGGGCGACGGUUGUCCCGGUUUAAGCGUGUAGGCUGGUUUUCCAGGCAAAUCCGGAAAACUAAGGCUGAGGCGUGAUGACGAGGCACUACGGUGCUGAAGCAACAAAUGCCCUGCUUCCAGGAAAAGCCUCUAAGCAUCAGGUAACAUCAAAUCGUACCCCAAACCGACACAGGUGGUCAGGUAGAGAAUACCAAGGCGCUUGAGAGAACUCGGGUGAAGGAACUAGGCAAAAUGGUGCCGUAACUUCGGGAGAAGGCACGCUGAUAUGUAGGUGAAGUCCCUCGCGGAUGGAGCUGAAAUCAGUCGAAGAUACCAGCUGGCUGCAACUGUUUAUUAAAAACACAGCACUGUGCAAACACGAAAGUGGACGUAUACGGUGUGACGCCUGCCCGGUGCCGGAAGGUUAA
rnacentral:rRNA from 1 species